AAGUCCCACAUUGGUUAGAUGAGGGAAGAGAAGAGGUGCCUUCAUGUAUAAAAAGGAGGGGUGUGUGUGCAUUAGGAAGCAUGAGAGGCUAAGAUGCAAUUUAGAGGAAAUUGCAACUUUUGGCCCAAAGGUUUGAAUAAUUAAAUUCAAACCUAUAGUUUUUUUUAAUAUAAUUUUGGGACUCACAAUCCCAUUUUUAUAUUAUUUUUCUCUCUUCCUCUCACGUUGCUCGGCGUUUUCUCGCAAGGGGGGAUUAUUUUCUUUUUCUUCAGAUUAUAUUGACAAAGAUAGUGGUGAAAAAGGAGUUGUGAAGGGGAACUUGUUAUUCAAGACACAAGGAGCGAGUCCGGCCGAGAAAGCACCAGAGGUGUAACUAUGGUGUAUGAGACACCAUCUUUUACGUUGCCUCUUAUUUUGGAUUAUACAAUGUAUCUUGUGCCAACUUAGGACAUAUCUUCUUUGUGAAGCAUGUAAACUCUAAUCCUUUUUAUUAAAAGUAUUUAUAUGACCAAGAGGAUUAUGUCUGUC